rnacentral:rRNA from 1 species
CACGGCGCACGGGUGCGUAACACGUGGGUAAUUUGCCCUCUGAUGGGGAAUAACCCCGGGAAACCGGGGCUAAUACCGCAUAACAUUCCUUGGACUCUGGUUUGAGGACUCAAAGCCGUAAGGCGUCAGAGGAGGAGCCCGCGCACGAUUAGCUAGUUGGUAGGGUAACGGCCUACCAAGGCUAUGAUCGUUAGCUGGUCUGAGAGGAUGGCCAGCCACACUGGAACUGAGACACGGUCCAGACUCCUACGGGAGGCAGCAGUGGGGAAUCUUGCGCAAUGGGCGAAAGCCUGACGCAGCGACGCCGCGUGGGGGAUGAAGCUUCUCGGAGUGUAAACCCCUUUCGACCGGGACGAAUACCUCGCAAGAGGGGUGACGGUACCGGUAUAAGAAGCCCCGGCUAACUACGUGCCAGCAGCCGCGGUAAGACGUAGGGGGCCAGCGUUGUUCGGAAUUACUGGGUGUAAAGGGUUCGUAGGCGGUGUGGCAAGUCGGGAGUGAAAUCUCUGGGCUCAACUCAGGGGCUGCUUCCGAAACUGCUGUGCUAGAGUGUGGGAGAGGCGCGUGGAAUUGCAGGUGUAGCGGUGAAAUGCGUAGAUAUCUGCAGGAACACCCGUGGCGAAAGCGGCGCGCUGGACCACUACUGACGCUGAGGAACGAAAGCUAGGGGAGCAAACAGGAUUAGAUACCCUGGUAGUCCUAGCCCUAAACGAUCAGGACUUGGGGUGCCACCCGUUCGGGUGUCGUCCCGGAGCUAACGCGUUAAGUCCUGCACCUGGGGAGUACGGUCGCAAGACUGAAACUCAAAGGAAUUGACGGGGGCCCGCACAAGCGGUGGAACAUGUGGUUCAAUUCGA